GAGAGCGCAGUACGAUGAAAGUUGUAAGCUGUGUUCGAGGGAAAGUUAUUGUCUAUCAUUAACCUCUAUGGUAGAAUCAAUCGAGGGCCUGAGAGUCGGUGGUUUACCCUGU
rfam:Gossypium hirsutum cultivar TM-1 chromosome 20, whole genome shotgun sequence